AACGUAGGACGCAAGCGUUAUCCGGAGUUACUGGGCGUAAAGCGCGGGCAGGCGGUUUGUCAAGUCUGAUUUGAAAUCUCCUCGCUCAACGGGGAGCAGCCAUUGGAAACUGGGCAACUGGAGUCUGGCAGAGGUAGGCGGAAUUCCGGGUGGAGUGGUGAAAUGCGUAGAGAUCCGGAGGAACACCAGAGGCGAAGGCGGCCUACUGGGCCAGUACUGACGCUGAGCCGCGAAAGCCAGGGGAGCGAACGGG
rnacentral:rRNA from 1 species